CUCGCACGCUCCUGGAGACUGCUCGGGAGAAAGCGGAGCAAGAAUGCCUCUCUGGAUGCAACUCUUCAUUUAACAACAGGACAUUCACCCAUCUUCCUGGAACCAUUGACAACAGGACCAUCAAGUGAGAGGCUCAGAGGAUGCUUGAGGAUGUUUUAUCUCAAAUAGAUUCUCUAAGAAUCUAUUUGAGAUAAAAAACAAACAAAAAACCCAAAAUAUUCUCCCCACCAAAUGAUAGUAUCCUAUCAAUCCUGCAGACCCCCAAGGGCUUUAAACCCCCAUCUCUAACAGUCUGAAUCAACCAAUGAUCAUUAAAGGCCUAAAUUGCCUUCCUGAAAAUAUCAUCCUAUCUCUGUUAAGCAAAGGGACUAGGAACCCUUCACUGUCUCCUGAAGAUGAGACGCUAAUCUUGAACACAGACAUCUGUGCUUACCUAGCAGCAUGUUCUUCGUAACACAAAUACAGAGCUAUCUAGGGUCACAUGAAUUUUGCACUGCACAGAUUCCAAGAGAUGACCAGAACACCGGGACAUGAGAUAAAUUGUCACUCCAGCAGAUAAGAUGCAAAUUUUCACUAGUGACCCCUGAGGCACCAACUCAUCUACAUUACACAGGUCAGGAGAAAGAGAGUUAGUUCAAGGUCUAAUUAUAGCUAGGGUAAUAACCUUAAUUGGAUAACUUAUUGGAUGGGUAGAAGGAAUAAUUUGCAAUGCAGUGACCAUUCAAAACAUUUCCACAACCACAGGGGACAUUGCUAUAGAAACUUGACAAGAGUUUAAAUGACUAUAGUAAAACCUUUAGACUUACUAGCCCAAUUGGUGAUUGAAAAUAGGCUGGUUCUAGGUGAUUUGUUGCCUUGGGAAGGUGGAGUUUGUACUCUGGCAAACACUUACUGCUGAUUUUAUGUCACUGUGUCUGGAAAAAUAAAUACUAGUGCUGAUCAAGUUUUGCAAAAAGCUAUUGGCUUUAAAGCUGUUCACCCAGAUAACACUAGGGAUGUAUGGGAAACUUUAAGCUUACCUGCCUAACCUCACUUGUCUGUUACCACUGUUCGGAUCUUUGGUUGCUAUAACUCCUAUUGCUUGAUCCUUGCCUUCUUAAUCUCCUGGUAAAAUUUACAUCUUCCAGAUUGCAACAAUUCCAUGUUAAAAUGAUGGCAAUGUUAAAGAAUUCCAAUCCAUCCUAACAAUGGAGACUGGUCUCUUUGUGUCCCCAUUAGAUCAGGCAGGCAGAGACUUUAGAUCCCAGAAUAGCUAGGGACAAUGCCCCAUUCUAGCUUGAAUCCCCUAUGGAAGAUGGGUCAUUCCCCUUCUGGAACCCCUUAAGAACAAGGAUCUAAGUCUCUGGGAGUGGGGAAGAGGUUUAAGAAUACAGAGAAAACACUAGGUCUCAAAAGAGAAAUGCUCAUCAUAUCUUGGAAUGAAGAACAAACAACUCAUGAGCAAUGUCCCCACCCCUGUCAUUGCCUGCAGCUUGCCAA